UGGUUUUCAACAUUUAGUACAUCAAUUUUUUUUCAUCCCAGAGUCAUACCUAAAGUGUUAAUUUUGGGACAGUCUCAUACAUCCAUUAAGUUUUCUGUUAGAACUUCUGUUAAUUGAUGACGUGGCGCCCACGUGGACAAUUAUUGGGCACCACGUGUCAAUUUGGGCCCACUUCAAUAUUAAAAAAAUUAAAAAAAUAAAAAUACAAAAAAAAGAAAAAAAAAAAAGAAAAGAACAAACAUCUGUCUCCUCCCUCAUCCCUCGCACCCUCUCCCUCCCUUCUCUCUUCUGCAACCCGCACCCCUUCCCUCCAUUCUCUUUUCUGCACCUGCACUACCCUCCCUUCUCUCCUCUACAACCCGUACCCAUCAUCUCCGCACACCCAACCCAACAAAAUCCCACCCAAAGAAAUUCUAUUUCAACAAGAAUUUGGUAUUUUCAAGUAUGGAUCUUCUCUUUGUGAACCAAGGAGAAAAACCCAGAAAAAGCCUCUCUCGCGACCCCUAUUCCAUGAAAAGAGAAGAAGUUAAAUUAGAAUCGUUCUUCAAUCCAUCUUACCCACCUCUCUCUCGCUACUCAAUCUCUCUACAUCUAUCACAAUUCUCAAAUAACGAAACAAGAAGUUUAAUUAAAGCAAAUUAAGAAACAAGUGACUUCCAUCUUCAGGAAAAGCUGAAAAGUGUGGAUUGAGGUUUCAAUAAUCUUGACGAGAUCUGGGGCAUAAACCAUUAAAUCAAAUUCUUCCUCCUCUAGGCCAUUUCGAAUUGGACCAAAAAAUGCAAACUCGAAGCGGGUGGAGGAAACCCAAAUCCUCCUAAUUUUCCAGAAAAUUAUAAAGUUAAAAGAAAAAAAAUAUUCAGAUCAACUAAUAUUGGGUUUCUUUUGUGAACCCAGAAAAAUUGGGGUCUCUUUCGAGAUGAAA
rnacentral:lncRNA from 1 species